UACGUAGGGGGCAAGCGUUGUCCGGAAUUAUUGGGCGUAAAGAGCGCGCAGGCGGCUGGUCAAGUCCGAUGUGAAAUCUCCCGGCUCAACUGGGAAACUGCAUCGGAAACUGAUCGGCUUGAAGAUGGGAGAGGGUAGUGGAAUUCCCGGUGUAGUGGUGAAAUGCGUAGAUAUCGGGAGGAACACCAGUGGCGAAGGCGACUACCUGGCCCAUUCUUGACGCUGAGGCGCGAAAGCUAGGGGAGCGAACGGG
rnacentral:rRNA from 1 species